ACGAAGAGUAGCCCCCGCUCGCCGCAACGAGAGAAAGCCGGUGCACAGCAACGAAGACCCAACGCAGCCAAAAGUAAAUAAAUUUAUUAAAAAACAUUAGUUAUAUAUGACUGAUAACUGAUGAAUAUGGUUAUAAUUUUUAUGAUUUUUUUGUCAGAAGUAUUACUGGCUUUUAAUCUUUGUUUUCUAGGUAUAAGGAAACCUUAAGCUAAGUAUGACUUAUAGCAGCUUGGUAAAUUAGACCUUUGUAAGCAGAACUGAAACAUUUAUCUUUUCUUUCUACUUGAUUCCUCCAGAAAGUGGAAGCUUUCAGGUUCCCAGUAGCCUUAUCAGGUGAAUAAGGAAGGUCAACUCCUGGCAGGUACAAGAAUGUCAAGGUAUUUUGGAGACCUUGAGAAGAGAGGAAUUCACCCAAAUCUAUAGUUAUUGUGGCGGAAUCUAAUGGCAAGCCCUUGGCAUGGCUUUCCUGGCUCAACUUGAGAGGCCUUUUAAAAGUUCAAUCUGAAAUUCCUUAUGAAAAGUUCCAGGAAAAACAAUUUAAAAGAGCCUAUAUAAUCAAUUACACAUUAUGUAAAUAAUCAGGCCAAGUUUAUUUUGCAAACAAAUUAGCCUUAAUUGGGCUAUAUUUGGUAGAAAUGAAGGUGAUUUUAGAGAAAAAAAAAGUUCUAGUGGAUAUUAAGUUCUAAUGUUGUCAAUUGUCUUCCAAGUUUGUACUUAGUGCCCAGGGCUCACUUCUUUUGUUGGCUCCUUGUUACAUUAUUGUGAAGUUUAAUUGAAUUAUUAAAAGGACAUUGUAAGUUUGUUUCUGGAGCUUAUCACAGUAAUCCUUGGAUGAAGAUCAGAUGCCUCAUGACCUGUAACAAGAUUACAUAUACUAGAAAAUAUAUCAUUUAAAGGAUUUUCUCCAACCUAUAUAGGACCCUCCAAUGAAAAUAAUGACAACUAGGCGACUUGAUUAACCAGAUAAAUAGUUCUACAUAAGAUCAAUGAUUGUAAUAGUGUAACCCUAGAUAUGGGAAGAAGCAGUAAGAGGGAAACUAUUCCUGUAUUUUCCAGUAAGAGGGAAACUAUAACAGACUAGUAAGACUAUUAUGGGCCUAGUUCAGUAACAGCACAUUGAGUGGCCUAUAUCAGCGAAAUCCUCACCAGACCUAAGAAUGAGCCUUCCUAGCGCCGUGGGACAAAUUGGUCAUGAAAUGCCUCCUAAACCUUGGUCAAAACUAUGACCAAGGGGAGGGUACUGCCAACUGAGGAAUGUUGCCCAUCAUCCAGUUCUACAGCCCCUGCAGUCGCUGACCUAUAGUUACCCCUAAAAGGACUUCAGGGCGAAGACCGUGCUCUGGGAAAACUGGCAGAACUGGCCCUCAGGUAGUUAGAGAUUUUCAGGAGAAAACUUUUGUGAACCCGGACUCUUGCAUCUUCCCUUGCUUAAUAAAGCACUAAAAUCAUUAAAUGAGAUACCUGUUCCUUGUGACUAGCGGCAACCUUCUCCUGAGACAUGUGCUUGGUUGCACAUACCCUCUUCACGUAACUCACACAUGCUUCAGAGCAGUUCCUCAGAGCUGGGAGGCUGGCUCCUGUUACAGUCCUUGGUAAGUCUCCAAACAAAACUGAAAAGUCACAGCUCUCACAUUGUGCAUUUCAACUGACGGUGGAAAUGAGCUGUUCAAGGUCACACAGCUGGUCGGUGGCAGGUCCCAUCUUUUCACGGCUCCUCCUGCCGCCCCCCGACACUUCGCGUGUUCAAUUACUGAUGCAUCCAUUUCUAUCAACAGCCUUUACCAAAGCCCUGUUUAGGGGCAGUUCCUGUCUCAGGGGUUAGUUCUGGAGCAAGGAUGACACCUCAGGGCUGAGUCCUGUCAGCUCACAGAGCAGAGGGGAGAACAGGGCCGGAGACACAAAGAGAGGGGGCCUGGGCCUGGCCAUGCCCCACGCCCUUCUUCACGCUUUCCCGAGUAACCUAGGCUGGCCAGGCUGUGCCAUAGGGCCUGGCAUGAGCUGAAAGGUUCAAAAGACAGGGUAUUGGGGUGCCCAGCCCAGUCUUUCCACUUUGGGGGGCCCUGUGGUCUGAACGGGGACUCGCGAGAGGCCCAGUCUCUCCUCUGCAGUUCCCAUGCUCCGGUCCAGGCCCAGUGAGGGGGAUCUCAUUCCAGUCUGCAUGCUGGUCUCCAAUGACAUCUUUUCCUCUUAAGGUUGACCUUGAGGUUGCUUCUGAGCUAGAUUCACCUGGCAAGAAGGUUGGGGGUCGAGAGAAUCACAUAGAAUUUGGCCCUGGGCCUGGGCCUGCCCCCCAGGUGAGAGAGUUGCGUGUCCUGUCACCACUGCACGGAGAUGGAGGGAAGGGCCCCCACCAGGUCUUGCUGUCCCCCUCACUCUAGAAAGGACGAAACGGACAGGACCUGCCUGGAGCCAGGCCGAGUGCCUAGUGUCCAGAGGGAACAGGUGAGUCCCACACGCCCCCUUCAGGCCGUGCUGGCACAGUGGGAUGCGGCCAGCGACCCGGAGAAAUGCCUGUCCCGGCCCCCGCUCCGAGCAGUGGCUGCCUGGCGGCCCGGCCCGCCCUCCAGGGACCCUGCCCCCGCCGCCCGCAUGAGCUGUGAGGCCUUAACUACCCAGCCUUCUGAAACUGGCUUGUCCCUUACUGUGGGUCCCCCUAGGGGGGCUGUCUCGGUCCUGAUUUGUGUCAUGGCGUGCGCAUGUUUGCUGUCUCCUCUCUGGGGCUGGUUCCCCUGCCCUCCCAGUGCUCAGCUCCCCGCGGCGGCGGCUCAGGGCAGGUUCCUGCUCCUUCUCUACAGGGAGCAGCUGGGGAGCUGACUCUGACUUAGGAACGCUGCCUGUGGGCUUUGUUUCCAGCCCUCUCAGAGUCACAGGGAAGCUGGCACCAGAGGGAGAACCUUGGCCUCUUGUUUGUCUCCAGCCCGAGCCAGUGGCGUGGAAAGAGGUCAGAGGGCCCGGCUUGGGGGCGGCGGGGGGUGGGGGGAGGCAGCAGGCCAGCCGCCCCAGGCUUCUCCUCCGUCCUGGCCCACGUGCGCCCUCGUGCACACGUGCCUCUCGGUGGGGAGGGGAGGGGUUACCAUGGGACAGGCCGGGCAGAUCACGUUCAAGGCCCUGCCACUGCUGUCGUGGGGAGAAUUAUGGCCGUCGUGACGGGGAGGAGGUGGUAUGGGGAGACUGCAGGAUCGGGGCACAGGCUUCUGCUGAUGUCAGAGCCUGCCACUGACUCUGGGAUGGGUGUGGGGUGCUGGUGACCUCCUCCUGGGCCAAGGUUCUCUUCCUCAGCCUUUGCAGGCUGAGCGCCUUGUUAACUCUCACGGUCCCUCUGAGCAGGAAGGUAGGCAGAGAGGUCUGGGAAUUCCCUCUGGUUCUGGAAGUCCUCUGUGUCUGGCUUUGCUUUUGGAUGAGGGCAGAGCCCCCAAGGGUGGAGACCAGAGGGCACCGCAGGCCAGGAGGGAAGAGAUGCGGCCCAGGCCAUGCAGGGUGCUGGACAGGAAGGCCCAGGGCCGGGGAGGGAGGACCCCACUCAUUCACUCAACAAUCCUUUGAUGAGUGUCCACUGUGUAGCUCUACAGUUACAGGGGAAAACAAACCAUGUGACCCCCUAUGGGGAGCUGUAGGGCAGAUGAAGAGGUUCAGAAGUACAGAGGAGGGAAAAAAAAAAAAGUACAGAGGAGGGAGCACCUGACGACACAGGAGGAGGAAGGGGGUGCUUCUGGGGGGAAGUCAGAUUAGGAAGGAGUCAGCCAGGUGGGAGAGGGGCUGGGGGCCAGGCGCUCCAGGUAGAGCAUGGAGCGGGCGGUGGGGGGGGGUGGAAAUCUGAGGGGUCAGCUGUGGAAUGUUCGUAGGGCGCGGAGGGAAGUCAAGGCUGGAGAGAGAGGCAGAGGUCAGAGCCAGCUGGGUGGGCGUGGGAAGAUUCCUCCGCAGGUUCCCGGGAAGCAGAGGCCGGGAGUUGAGGAGGGGACCUGGAGCUGGUGUGGCCCGGCCCCAAGGAGGAGCCCUGGCAGAGCUGGAGGAGUAGACAGCUAGGGGAGUGUGAACCAGGGUGGACAGCCCCAAAGCUUUGGGACAGACGUUGGCACACCAAUCAUCUCCAGACUCUUCAUGCCUGGGGGGCUGUGGUCUCCAGUGAGGGCAGUAAGAGAACAUCUCCACAUUCAGUGUAAGGAUCUCUGCUAAUCACUCCACUCCGGGAUGCUCGUUAUAGAAUUCUGGGAAGGCAUCAACACAUACACAAACUCUCCAGACGUUCCAGCCGACCACUGGAUACUUAUCUUCAGAUGCUGCUAAGGCCUCGGAACCCGCAGGCAGUGACACAGCAGAUGGAGGACUCUCACCAGAAAGGCCCAAAGCCACUGACCUAAGCAGAUGUCCAGCAAAUGCUGAUAUGAACUGAGAAGUUCCUUAAGACAGAAGCAAAUAUAAGGUCUCCUUAGAAAAAUGCAGGAGGCAAAACCAAGACCAAGACCUUGAGUCUAAUGUAUCCCAAGGUAUAAAAUCCUGAGCUUAAUGUUGGGGGUCCCUGAAAAGCUUCAGCAAAGGCCUCUGACCCACUUUUCAUUGGACAGGGAGGGAUUACCUUCAGGGCAGGAACUGCUUUGAAGAGUAGUCACACCCAAGCCAAUGUACAAAUGAGCAGCUUUUUCAGUGGACUGAGUUUAUUUCUAUCAUCUGGCUCCCUCUAAUGGGGAAAAUAAAAAAUAGUCCAAAACACUGUCAGCACAUGUUCUAGUGAAAACCAGUUUUAGAAAUACAAGCUUGUAAACACAAGCUUUUGAACCACCUAAUUGUAAUUUAGAAAACAAUGAUGUAAUGAUUCAAACUUAUAUUCCAUUAUGCCAGACACGUGAAAAAAGUUGCAGACAAAUAAACUUCGAUAUGAAACAACACAAAAAUACAGUGGGCAGCUCUUAUUAUCCAGAGUACAGGAGAAG